UACAGAGGUCUCAAGCGUUGUUUCGGAUUCAUUGGGCGUAAAGGGUGCGUAGGUGGCGCUGUAAGUCAGGUGUGAAAUUUCGGAGCUUAACUCCGAAACUGCAUUUGAUACUGCGGUGCUUGAGGACUGGGAGAGGAGACUGGAAUUUAACGGUGUAGCAGUGAAAUGCGUAGAGAUCGUAAGGAAGACCAGUGGCGAAGGCGGGUCUCUGGACAGUUCCUGACACUGAGGCAACGAAGGCCCAGGGGAGCAAACGGG
rnacentral:rRNA from 1 species